UACGGAGGGUGCAAGCGUUAUCCGGAUUCACUGGGUUUAAAGGGUGCGUAGGUGGGUAAGUAAGUCAGUGGUGAAAUCUCCGGGCUUAACCCGGAAACUGCCAUUGAUACUAUUUGUCUUGAAUACUGUGGAGGUCAGCGGAAUAUGUCAUGUAGCGGUGGAAUGCGUAGAGAUCCGGAAGAACACCGGUGGCGAAGGCGGUCUGCUGGGCAGUUGCUGACACUGAGGCGCGACAGCGUGGGGAGCAAACAGG
rnacentral:rRNA from 1 species